rnacentral:lncRNA from 1 species
GCCAGAGCUGACUUGACAAUUGUUCACACUCAGAAAGUAAAAUAACUAAGGCCAAAGUGUUGAAGGGGGAAAGAACACCCAGGGACUGGCCCCACGUCAGUGUGCAGUACAGAAUGCAUGCCUUCCUAGUGCCCACUGUCACACAGGGACCCAGGACCGUAGAAUCCAGAAGUGCUGCUUCCGGUGGGUGCUUCAUAGAACAGCCAGCAACCUACAGCAGACAGCAGAAAGCCUUGCUUUGAAACCAUUCAGCACUUGAAAAUCUGGGUCUACACACAACUGGCUAGCAAGCCUUAUAAAGACUUAGCAUGAGUACCCAAUGCCUUGCACACUUACAAAAUACUCUGAGUAUGAAAGCUACCUUUGCACACUCUUCCUCAGCCGACUCAUGUUGGUAAGCAAGCCUGCAGACCGUCCCUUCUGGACUGAUUUGUAUAAGGGGAUUCAUGGCCUGCAGUUACAAAUAACAGGUUAUGAGGUAUGCUGGGGAAGCAGGCAGGAGAAUCUCUGACUUUAAAAAGCACACGUUUCGAAAGGGCUACAUAUAUCUCUCCAUAAAUGACCAGAGCCAUCUUUUGUAAUUUGUAGCACUGUGCCCAGUAAACAGUUAAAAUGCUUGGAACAUUUUUGGCUGUCCUUUUGAUUGUCCAUGUGAGCCAGUGCCCCAUGCCCCAAAGUAGGAAAGUGUGUGGUGCUGUCCCACAGGGCCAGCCUCCAGCUAGUGCGCAGGAGCCUUGGGGAGAGCGGACACUACAGUCACCCAGCUUCCCCAUCUGUUGUCCGUUGCUGCCACCGUGUGAAUGGUGACCAGACCUCCCAGUGAGGCUAUGUUUACAACCCCACCUCACCAAAUGCCAACUUCUGGCAUUGGGAUCAAUGCCAAACUAUCCCCAGAUUCUGUUUAAUCGUGGGAAAGAAAAGCAUGGGCGUGUUCUGUUCCCUGCCAGCGUGGUGCUUCUUGCCUCCUCUCUGGAAGGGCCUACACCAGCUCAGAUGCACUCUCGGAGCCUUUCCAGCAGGACCUUCAAGCUCUCUUACGCAUCACUGUCCAUCAGCCUCGGGUCCACCAUCCUCACAAGGAAAGCCUGGGCCUCUCUCUUUGGACUUUGCAGGACUCUGAGGUCAUCUCGGUGUAAAUAAAUAAAAACGUGGACUGUCCUGAUUCUGGAUCAACCUCUGAAAAAGCCAACCUCUGGAAAGGGCUAAAUGAUAAGUAUUUUAAAGUUUGUCACAUCAUGUUUUAAACUUUAUCCAAAUGUGUUGCUAUCGCUUCUAUUGCAGCAUGAAAAAUAAAAGAUAUGUGAAUGGG